AAAGAAUAUAAUACUACAAGCUUGAUUUUGGCCACUGCUAGUUAUAACUUUAUGGACUGUAGAUAACAAUAGGGCUUCUAACAAUGUAACGGGGGCUUCUCCAAAUAAGUGAGCCUGAUACAAUUUGCAUGCUUGACAUAGAUUUUGCUUUCACUGAUACCUUGAAGCUCCUCUUUUGCAGGGUAUGAGAGAAAAUGAGGCUAGUUGGCUUCACUGUGAUUUCCACUCCUUUUGGAGAUUUGAUGGUGGAAUUAUAGAUAGUUGGUCCAGGACCUACAUUGGUAACUCUUCUCCUGAAAACUCCUAUUGUUGUUUCUGUGUUGCUUUUCACACUUAAUUGCAUGCUGGGAUAGUUAAUAGCAUCAUGGCCAAUUCCAGGAAGCAAAGAGGUGCAAUUUAUAGGAGAACCAAUUAGUACUGAUAAAGUGGAACCAUUAUAUCCCUCAUGGCAUAAGAAUUGGAUAUAAGCAAAGUCAUCCAUGUCAUAGACUAAACCAGGGUUCACAGCUCUUGUUGGGUUAACUUGACCAGCACCAAAAGCAAACUCUGCUUCCUUGUUAAAUUUCUGGCUCAUAGGUUUAGCUUGAUAAAGAGUGUACACAAGUUAAGCUAUCUCAAAACACAACAAGUUAUGACUAGAGACAUAAAGUUUUUUUUUUUAUACAAAUGUUAGUACUUCCUCUGUAACAACAUUAAGCAAAAAGUGAUUCUUUUCAUCUUAUUUAAUGAUAGUACACCAAAAAUGUCCUUCAUUUAAUGUCCCCUUUUUCUAUGCAAUUAAAUUAGAUGAGGGGGUAAUUUAUGUAGUGAAGUUGACUUUUAAAUGAGGUUAACAAGAAUAAAAGUGAAUAACUAAUUAUCUUAGUAAAUAUGUAAGUGGUUAAUUUUGCUUAUAUUUUGUAAGAGUGGGAGUAUAUAUUAGUUGUUAUUUCAAGGUUUGAACCCCAAUACUUUAAAUCUACCGACUCUUCUAAUCCUUAGCACAAACCAGUUUAGCUACCGAACCCGCAGACAGAAAGAGUUUUGUUGAUUUUGGAUGUGAUGAAAAAAAUCAACUAAACACUAUAUAUAGGAAGUUAAAAUGAUAAUCUUUAAUUUUUCACCUGUUGUAAUUAUAGCUGAUCUGAUUGCAGCAGGACUCCAAUCUGGGUGAAAUGACUUCACAUAUGCUGCUACUCCAGAAACAUGAGGGCAUGACAUUGAAGUACCAGACAUUAGUGUAAAUUCUGAAA
rnacentral:lncRNA from 1 species